GUACGGGGGGAGCAAGCGUUUGUUCGGAUUUACUGGGCGUAAAGGGCGCGUAGGCGGCGUGACAAGUCACUUGUGAAAUCUCCGGGCUUAACCCGGAGCGGCCAAGUGAUACUGUCGUGCUAGAGUGCGGAAGGGGCUACUGGAAUUCUCGGUGUAGCGGUGAAAUGCGUAGAUAUCGAGAGGAACACCUGCGGCGAAGGCGGGUAGCUGGGCCGACACUGACGCUGAGGCGCGAAAGCCAGGGGAGCGAACGGG
rnacentral:rRNA from 1 species